rnacentral:lncRNA from 1 species
AUCCGGUCUUAAUAGAAGAUUUCAUUCAUACAUGCCAUUGUAUGUGUAUUUGUUUGAUAGAACUACACAUAUUUAUAAGAACUGAUCGUUACAAAAUAUAUUGGCAAACAAGGUUAAAAUUUGUCUUCGGAAAAAUCGUCCCGACGUGGUCAGAAAGAGUUAUCCCCCUUGGCCGGCAUAGCGAUCGGUUUUCGAUCAAACAUUUAUCGAUACUGAGAUGGAGAACGUCAACGUGCCUGCUGACCCUGCACAUGACGCAUGGUAUCCAAGUGGGCUGUGUCCUGCCACAUUCAGGAAAUUUGAGGUGCAACCCUUGUAGGAAAUCAGGUUUCACUGUCCAGUUACAAGAAGCCUGGUGUAAAUAGCUUGUUUGGUCCAGUUGCACCCAACAAAGGGCAACUACCAUGCUGUAAUGAAACUUGAUGGUAUCAGUUUACACCAACGCUAAACUACAUAUACAGCUCCCAAUACAGUGUGCUUUGAGAAGGGAGAGCAACUAUGCCCUGUACGUUUCUGGAAAGAAGAAGUGUUGAGAAGAGUUCUGUGUUGAAGUCAGCAUUGGCAUCCUGAGUAGUGAAAAGAUCAGCAGGGAGUAGCAUCAGUUCGCUACUGUGUGGAGGGACAGUGUUUCUCCCUAUACUCAUGGACAGUACUGUACAUCUAAACACAUGAUUCAUAUUAUAUAUUGUUUCAUAAUGUGAGGUGUGUUUUUUUCAUUCAAAAUAUCAAUUAUCAUAUAUGGUGAAUUUAGCAUCUUACAAAUAUACUGUGCAUGGAAUUUCUUCACUUACACUGUUUUCAGCAUUUUGAGGCAAAACUCUUUUCAUGUGUUACAUUUAUGUUUAUUGUUUCCUCAACAAUAAAGAACUAGCAAAAUGA